UCCUCCCAGGCUGUGGUUGCGGAUCGGGUCUUUUCCCGGUCCAAGUCCAUGAUAGACGCGGUCAAAGGGAUCCACGUAAGCGCGCUCAUCAGCGCGCGAUCAUGGCGCGUCCUAGAGGUAAGUCGCACCGUCCGUUCCAGAAGAGGGCAUGCGCCCCGCGGACGAGCGGGUCAGUCGUGACGAGCGCCCCGGCGCUCCGAGCAAACGCCCCGGUGCGCAGGUGUGGGGUCAAAGACCAGGUCAGCUGGGAGGA
rnacentral:ncRNA from 19 species